rnacentral:rRNA from 1 species
UGGGGAAUAUUGCGCAAUGGGCGAAAGCCUGACGCAGCGACGCCGCGUGGAGGAUGAAGGUCUUAGGAUUGUAAACUCCUGUCAGAUGGGAAGAAAAGCUUGUUCUCGAAUAAAGAUAAGUAUGACGGUACCAUCAGAGGAAGCACCGGCUAACUUCGUGCCAGCAGCCGCGGUAAUACGAAGGGUGCAAGCGUUAUUCGAAAUUACUGGGCGUAAAGGGUGCGUAGACGGUAUGUUAAGUUUGUUGUUAAAGACUCUGGCCUAACCGGAGGGUUGCAAUGAAAACUGGCGUGCUAGAGGAUGAGAGAGAGAAGUGGAAUUCCCGGAGUAGCGGUAAAAUGCGUGGAUCUCGGGAGGAACACCAAUGGCGAAGGCAGCUUCUUGGCUCAUUUCUGACGUUGAGGCACGAAAGCGUGGGGAGCAAACAGGAUUAGAUACCCCCGUAGUCC